UGUUGAAUGAUAAAGAAUUCAGUAACCUGCAGUUUAGAACUUUGUGUGGUGAGCUUACUUAGAAGUUAGAACUUGAGCCGUUUCCUGUUUCCUAAGGAACUGAUUAUGUUACCAUUGCAUAAGUUAAAUAAAAGGGGAGGAGCUGCUUUGGCUUUAUAGUGUUUCAGAAAGUUCCUAGAGCUGUGUUCUUUCAAGGUCUUCGUUGUCUCCUGUGAACGAGCCUCCUUAUCCUUUCCAAGUUUGUUGGAUAGAAAUGAUUGCCCAUGAAAUCUUCUUUCUGUGCAAACCUCCAAACUGACUUGGAAGCCAUGGCAACAUGUCUUAUUCUAGGUUCUCUAUCCUUAAGUCCCCUGCCUAAUUGAAACCUCUGUGCAACUUGCAUUGCUUGGUUUUUUGAAAAAAGGCAUAGAGGAGCACAUUAAGAAGAGUGUAGGUUGUAAGUCGCACGUUGCUGACAGGAGCACGCUGCACGGUUUGAAAAAUACGACUGUGACACUUGGCAAGCUAGCAAGCUAAGAUUGUUUUAAGAUUACUUUACAUCCUUUGGGAAAUUUUCCAUGCAUACAUUUCUCUAAUCUGUUCUUGAUUCUUUCCACUAUUGGAUGUAAAAAAGUGAAAUUUGAAGGGUCGUAGUGUAUAUACCACGUAGGAUAAAGAUCCCUUCUCAGACUACAGCCCCAAAAUGAUCAUCCUGGAAGAACUUCCGGUUUAUCAGUAUUGACGCUCACAACUCAUAGGUGAUAUGACGGGAAACAUUCCUGAGAUCCAAAGUAGAUGUGUAGAGAACGAUACAUGUCUCGCUGACAAUGCAAAUGCUUCUGCUGGUUCUCCUAAAACUUCUCCAGAAGUCUUCCCAUCUGCUAUUGAAUUCUAUGUCUGGUCUGAUGAGGGGAUUAAUCUGUUCGUGGAUUUAAAUUCUAGCCCUUUGGACUGGACCUAAAGAUUAAAAAAUGAGGGUUACAUCUGUGAGAGCAUCUACAGAGACAAAUGUCUGCAACAGAAUCUCUGUUGGUUUAAAGGUCAUAAAGAAUUUGCCAAGUCUUUUCAGUGGAACAAUCAUCCUGGCCUAUUGAAGGAUGACUAUUUACAGAAAGAGGCUCCAUCCAGUUCGAACCUGAUGACAGAUAAAUGCAUGGUGACUGACCAACUAGAUGAAGCUAAUGGAUCUGUAAUCUUCUCUGCAAUUACGUCUCAUGCCAUUAAUGCAGAUGCAUUUGAGCAUUUAGAUGAAGCUCAGACAAUCAUUUCUUCUGAAACUGAUUUUGAUGUGCAGAACCAGAAACUUGCUGGGUCUGGAAUUUGUACUGAAGAGGAUAAUCGUGAAAUGAAUCUUGAUAAUGAUAUGAACAAUGCUUUACGAAAAACAGAUAUUUCUGAUCCAGUUUCUGGUGGUCCAUCUAGUCUUUCCACAUCAGACCAUCAAAAUCUUAUACUUGAAAGUGAUAUUUGCGAAACUUCAACACUACAGAAUAGCUGCCGUAUUUUAAAUCUCUGUGUGGAUAAUCCAGGAAGCUUAGCCGCUGGUUUUAUGGACGUGGAAUCAUCAGAUAUUGAACAAUGUCCUACAGACGUUUCUGAUUACAGCUUGCAAACAAGUGCAGAGAAGUUGGAGAGGAACAACUUAAGUGCAACAAUGGAGAUUUCAGAAUACUCUCAAUUUCCUGAAUCUUUGGAGAAGCCGUUGCCUGUAUCUCAUAUUCUCGAAUCUAAUGGAGCACAUAAGAGGAAGAAACUCACUAAAAAUGAAACAAGACGUUGUUAUAGUGAACCAGAUAGAAGAGUUUUAAGAAGUGUAACUAAAAAACGGGGGCUGCUUAGAAGAUCCAGGCGGCUCAUUUUAAAGACUGUGAGUUCGUAAAGUGCAUUGGGACAUGAUGGAACAUGGAAGGAUCGGUUUCUUCACAUCUACAGUGGUCUAAGGAAGAAUCACAUUAAUAGUACGUAUGAAUAUCUUUAUUAUGUGUUUUCUCCUGGAAAGGCUGUUCAUUUUGAGAAUUUUAAAAUCGAUCAGCUUAUUUUAGAAAUGUAUUACUCCAACAAUAAUUUUUGGAUCUUGAAUUGGCUAAGUAAUACAUCAUAUCACAUAGAUGGUAAUAGAUGUAGGCGUCCAGAUUCAGAAUUCUUAGAAUUGUGGAUUGUCGUUGCUGUUGUCAUGGGAUUGUUUCCAUCUGAAGAAAAUGCUUUCAAGCGUCGAUGAUCGAAGAUCGCCCAGAUUUCAAAGGUUAACGUUCGUGUUUAUGCAUUUUCAAAAUCGAAUCGGUCAAUUUUAGGGCCUGUUUGGAAUGCUUUUUCAAGUAGUUAAAAAAUGACCUUUUCAAAAUGAACAUAGUACGAUGGUAAUUGACGUGUACUACUUCUCUUAAAUUAAAGUCUCCGUACUCCACUUGUUAUAAGUGUUUCACUAGAAAUAGAUAUGUGACUCUCAAUAACAUUCCGUGAGAUAUGGUUUUUCCCUCAGGAGACGUAUCUUGUUUUAACCUAAAUAGAUAGAUCCCUAUCGCCCCUUAGGAGACGUGUCUUGUUUUUCCCUCACCCCAUUAAAUACAAAUCUAGCUUUUUGAUCUUUGAUGAUACUUCCAACUGCCCCUAACAAGAUUGACAUUUUGUGUCCCUAAGAUUGUAACUUGUUGCAGGUUGCGUUGAAUCAAACAUCUUUUUCCUGGGAAAGAACAAGCUUGUAUGCAGGUUUCUUCUUCAGUUGAAUGGUAACAACUCUUUAUGAUGUUAUGGAAGAAAUCAUGUGUGUAAUGCUGGCCUGGUUGAAAUUGGUCCUAGAACACUCUCUACAAAUCUCUCCUACCUCGAGCCUCGGAGAAUCUUUUCCUCGAUCAUCGUAAAAAUGUAUGAAGCAUUUCGUAGGAAUGGGCAUUGACAGAGUAGUGACGCCUUUCCCGUCCUUGCCUCGUGUACAUCUCUAAAUCUGCCACACUACUUUUUCUAAUGAGUUUUAUAAUAUCGCUAAUUUACGGUGAGACACAUGAUUCAUUAAUGUAGUUUUGAAUAAAUGAAAUUGAAAGAGUAUUGAA